CGAAGGGGGCGAGCGUUGUUCGGAUUUACUGGGCGUAAAGGGCGCGUAGGCGGCCAUCUUUGUCAGGCGUGAAAGCCCCGGGCUCAACCUGGGAACUGCGUCUGGGACGGGGUGGCUAGAGAUCGGGAGAGGAGCGUGGAAUUCCCAGUGUAGAGGUGAAAUUCGUAGAUAUUGGGAAGAACACCGGUGGCGAAGGCGGCGCUCUGGACCGAGACUGACGCUGAGGCGCGAAAGCGUGGGGAGCAAACAGGAUUAGAUACCCUGGUAGUCCACGCUGUAAACGAUGUGUGCUAGACGUUGGGGAGCCUAGCUCUUCGGUGUCGCAGCUAACGCUUUAAGCACACCGCCUGGGGAGUACGGCCGCAAGGUUA
rnacentral:rRNA from 1 species